GGUCAAGUGAAGAAGCGCAUACGGUGGAUGCCUUGGCAGUCAGAGGCGAUGAAAGACGUGGUAGCCUGCGAAAAGCUUCGGGGAGUCGGCAAACAGACUUUGAUCCGGAGAUGUCUGAAUGGGGGAACCCACCUAACAUAAGUUAGGUAUCUUAAGCUGAAUACAUAGGCUUAAGAAGCGAACCAGGGGAACUGAAACAUCUAAGUACCCUGAGGAAAAGAAAUCAACCGAGAUUCCCUUAGUAGUGGCGAGCGAACGGGGACUAGCCCUUAAGUGGCUUUGAGAUUAGCGGAACGCUCUGGAAAGUGCGGCCAUAGUGGGUGAUAGCCCUGUACGCGAAAAUCUCUUGGUCAUGAAAUCGAGUAGGACGGAGCACGAGAAACUUUGUCUGAAUAUGGGGGGACCAUCCUCCAAGGCUAAAUACUACUGACUGACCGAUAGUGAACUAGUACCGUGAGGGAAAGGCGAAAAGAACCCCGGAGAGGGGAGUGAAAUAGAUCCUGAAACCGUAUGCGUACAAGCAGUGGGAGCCCACUUUGUUGGGUGACUGCGUACCUUUUGUAUAAUGGGUCAGCGACUUAUUUUCAGUGGCGAGCUUAACCGAAUAGGGGAGGCGUAGCGAAAGCGAGUCUUAAUAGGGCGUCUAGUCGCUGGGAAUAGACCCGAAACCGGGCGAUCUAUCCAUGGGCAGGUUGAAGGUUGGGUAACACUAACUGGAGGACCGAACCGACUACCGUUGAAAAGUUAGCGGAUGACCUGUGGAUCGGAGUGAAAGGCUAAUCAAGCUCGGAGAUAGCUGGUUCUCCUCGAAAGCUAUUUAGGUAGCGCCUCAUGUAUCACUGUAGGGGGUAGAGCACUGUUUCGGCUAGGGGGUCAUCCCGACUUACCAAACCGAUGCAAACUCCGAAUACCUACAAGUGCCGAGCAUGGGAGACACACGGCGGGUGCUAACGUCCGUCGUGAAAAGGGAAACAACCCAGACCGUCAGCUAAGGUCCCAAAGUUAUGGUUAAGUGGGAAACGAUGUGGGAAGGCUUAGACAGCUAGGAGGUUGGCUUAGAAGCAGCCACCCUUUAAAGAAAGCGUAAUAGCUCACUAGUCGAGUCGGCCUGCGCGGAAGAUGUAACGGGGCUCAAACCAUACACCGAAGCUACGGGUAUCACUUAGGUGAUGCGGUAGAGGAGCGUUCUGUAAGCCUGUGAAGGUGAGUUGAGAAGCUUGCUGGAGGUAUCAGAAGUGCGAAUGCUGACAUGAGUAACGACAAUGGGUGUGAAAAACACCCACGCCGAAAGACCAAGGUUUCCUGCGCAACGUUAAUCGACGCAGGGUUAGUCGGUCCCUAAGGCGAGGCUGAAAAGCGUAGUCGAUGGAAAACAGGUUAAUAUUCCUGUACUUCUGGUUAUUGCGAUGGAGGGACGGAGAAGGCUAGGCCAGCUUGGCGUUGGUUGUCCAAGUUUAAGGUGGUAGGCUG
rnacentral:rRNA from 1 species